CACGUAGUUAGCCGGUGCUUCUUCUCCAGGUACCGUCACAAAAACGCUUCGUCCCUAGCGAAAGGAGUUUACAACCCGAAGGCCGUCAUCCCCCACGCGGCGUCGCUGCAUCAGGCUUGCGCCCAUUGUGCAAUAUUUCCCACUGCUGCCUCCCGUAGGAGUCUGGGCCGUAUCUCAGUCCCAAUGUGGCCGUACACCCUCUCAGGCCGGCUACCCGUCGACGCCUUGGUAGGCCAUUACCCCCACCAACAAGCUGAUAGGCCGCGAGCUCAUCCCACACCGAAAAAACUUUCCACCACACCAUCCAAAAAUGUGGUCCUAUCCGGUAUUAGACCCAGUUUCCCAGGCUUAUCCCGAAGUGCAGGGCAGAUCACCCACGUGUUACUCACCCGUUCGCCACUCGAGUACCCCUGCCAAGCAGGAGCCUUCCGUUCGACUUGCAUGUGUUAAGCACGCCGCCAGCGUUCAUCCUGAGCCAGGAUCAAACUCU
rnacentral:rRNA from 1 species